AUUCCCGUAGCUCAAUCGGUAGAGCGUUGGUCUCCAAAACCAAAGGCUGCAGGCUCGGACCCUGCCGGGAAUGCCA
rnacentral:tRNA from 1 species